GAUGAACGCUAGCGGCAGGCUUAACACAUGCAAGUCGAGGGGCAGCAUGGGAGUAGCAAUACUUCUGAUGGCGACCGGCGCACGGGUGCGUAACGCGUAUGCAACCUACCUGUAACAGGGGGAUAACACUGAGAAAUCGGUACUAAUACCGCAUAACACUAUGAGAGGCAUCUCUUGUGGUUGAAAGUUUCGGCGGUUACAGAUGGGCAUGCGUUGUAUUAGCUGGUUGGUAAGGUAACGGCUUACCAAGGCGACGAUACAUAGGGGGACUGAGAGGUUAACCCCCCACAUUGGUACUGAGACACGGACCAAACUCCUACGGGAGGCAGCAGUGAGGAAUAUUGGUCAAUGGACGGAAGUCUGAACCAGCCAUGCCGCGUGCAGGAAGACGGCUCUAUGAGUUGUAAACUGCUUUUGUACAAGGGUAAACCUGAAUACGUGUAUUCAGCUGAAA
rnacentral:rRNA from 1 species